rnacentral:ncRNA from 2 species
AAAGAAAUAGUAAAAUGAUGAAAUCUUCACAGAGAGAAAACGGUGGUGAGAGUUUUCAAGAGGAAGUCUUUGAACCUGUCUUUUAGCUUAAAGGUAUAAAAAUCUUUACGGUAGGAACCGUUAUAUUCCCAAAAGAGAGCUAUUCAUAUAGCUAACUAGAGUGGUACCGCGGAAAUUAAACCUUUCGUCUCUAUACUUGUAUAGAGAUGAGAGGUUUUUUAUAU